UAGAGUUGUCAAACUCCCAAACCCAUGUGAACAUACCUAUUGUUGCCUCGGCAGGUCGCAGCCUACCCGGUAAACCCCCUACUCUGGGAGACCUUACCUGGGAGGACGCGGGUACGCCUGCCGAUGGCCCGCUAAACUCUGUUUAAACUUUGGAAAUCUGAUUUAAAACAAAUACGUUA
rnacentral:misc_RNA from 1 species